rnacentral:rRNA from 1 species
GACGAACGCUGGCGGCGUGCCUAAUACAUGCAAGUCGAACGCUUCUUUCCUCCCGAGUGCUUGCACUCAAUUGGAAAGAGGAGUGGCGGACGGGUGAGUAACACGUGGGUAACCUACCCAUCAGAGGGGGAGUAACACUUGGAACAGGUGCUAAUACCGCAUAACAGUUUAUGCCGCAUGGCAUAAGAGUGAAAGGCGCUUUCGGGUGUCGCUGAUGGAUGGACCCGCGGUGCAUUAGCUAGUUGGUGAGGUAACGGCUCACCAAGGCCACGAUGCAUAGCCGAGUUGAGAGACUGAUCGGCCACAUUGGGACUGAGACACGGCCCAA